rnacentral:rRNA from 1 species
GGUUAAGCGACUAAGCGUACACGGUGGAUGCCCUGGCAGUCAGAGGCGAUGAAGGGCGUGCUAAUCUGCGAUAAGCGCCGGUAAGGUGAUAUGAACCGUUAUAACCGGCGAUACCCGAAUGGGGAAACCCAGUGUGACUCGUCACACUAUCAUUAACUGAAUCCAUAGGUUAAUGAGGCGAACCGGGGGAACUGAAACAUCUAAGUACCCCGAGGAAAAGAAAUCAACCGAGAUUCCCCCAGUAGCGGCGAGCGAACGGGGAGGAGCCCAGAGCCUGAAUCAGCAUGUGUGUUAGUGGAAGCGUCUGGAAAGGCGCGCGAUACAGGGUGACAGCCCCGUACACAAAAGCGCAUGUGCUGUGAGCUCGAUGAGUAGGGCGGGACACGUGGUAUCCUGUCUGAAUAUGGGGGGACCAUCCUCCAAGGCUAAAUACUCCUGACUGACCGAUAGUGAACCAGUACCGUGAGGGAAAGGCGAAAAGAACCCCGGCGAGGGGAGUGAAAAAGAACCUGAAACCGUGUACGUACAAGCAGUGGGAGCACAGGUUUACCUGUGUGACUGCGUACCUUUUGUAUAAUGGGUCAGCGACUUAUAUUCUGUAGCAAGGUUAACCGAAUAGGGGAGCCGGAGGGAAACCGAGUCUUAAUUGGGCGUUAAGUUGCAGGGUAUAGACCCGAAACCCGGUGAUCUAGCCAUGGGCAGGUUGAAGGUUGGGUAACACUAACUGGAGGACCGAACCGACUAAUGUUGAAAAAUUAGCGGAUGACCUGUGGCUGGGGGUGAAAGGCCAAUCAAACCGGGAGAUAGCUGGUUCUCCCCGAAAGCUAUUUAGGUAGCGCCUCGUGAAUUCAUCUCCGGGGGUAGAGCACUGUUUCGGCUAGGGGGCCAUCCCGGCUUACCAACCCGAUGCAAACUGCGAAUACCGGAGAAUGUUAUCACGGGAGACACACGGCGGGUGCUAACGUCCGUCGUGAAGAGGGAAACAACCCAGACCGCCAGCUAAGGUCCCAAAGUCAUGGUUAAGUGGGAAACGAUGUGGGAAGGCCCAGACAGCCAGGAUGUUGGCUUAGAAGCAGCCAUCAUUUAAAGAAAGCGUAAUAGCUCACUGGUCGAGUCGGCCUGCGCGGAAGAUGUAACGGGGCUAAACCAUGCACCGAAGCUGCGGCAGCGACACUGUGUGUUGUUGGGUAGGGGAGCGUUCUGUAAGCCUGUGAAGGUGGCCUGUGAGGGUUGCUGGAGGUAUCAGAAGUGCGAAUGCUGACAUAAGUAACGAUAAAGCGGGUGAAAAGCCCGCUCGCCGGAAGACCAAGGGUUCCUGUCCAACGUUAAUCGGGGCAGGGUGAGUCGACCCCUAAGGCGAGGCCGAAAGGCGUAGUCGAUGGGAAACAGGUUAAUAUUCCUGUACUUGGUGUUACUGCGAAGGGGGGACGGAGAAGGCUAUGUUGGCCGGGCGACGGUUGUCCCGGUUUAAGCGUGUAGGCUGGUUUUCCAGGCAAAUCCGGAAAAUCAAGGCUGAGGCGUGACGACGAGGCACUACGGUGCUGAAGCAACAAAUGCCCUGCUUCCAGGAAAAGCCUCUAAGCAUCAGGUAACAUCAAAUCGUACCCCAAACCGACACAGGUGGUCAGGUAGAGAAUACCAAGGCGCUUGAGAGAACUCGGGUGAAGGAACUAGGCAAAAUGGUGCCGUAACUUCGGGAGAAGGCACGCUGACACGUAGGUGAAGUGAUUUACUCAUGGAGCUGAAGUCAGUCGAAGAUACCAGCUGGCUGCAACUGUUUAUUAAAAACACAGCACUGUGCAAACACGAAAGUGGACGUAUACGGUGUGACGCCUGCCCGGUGCCGGAAGGUUAAUUGAUGGGGUCAGCGCAAGCGAAGCUCCUGAUCGAAGCCCCGGUAAACGGCGGCCGUAACUAUAACGGUCCUAAGGUAGCGAAAUUCCUUGUCGGGUAAGUUCCGACCUGCACGAAUGGCGUAAUGAUGGCCAGGCUGUCUCCACCCGAGACUCAGUGAAAUUGAACUCGCUGUGAAGAUGCAGUGUACCCGCGGCAAGACGGAAAGACCCCGUGAACCUUUACUAUAGCUUGACACUGAACAUUGAGCCUUGAUGUGUAGGAUAGGUGGGAGGCUUUGAAGCGUGGACGCCAGUCUGCGUGGAGCCGACCUUGAAAUACCACCCUUUAAUGUUUGAUGUUCUAACGUGGACCCGUAAUCCGGGUUGCGGACAGUGUCUGGUGGGUAGUUUGACUGGGGCGGUCUCCUCCUAAAGAGUAACGGAGGAGCACGAAGGUUGGCUAAUCCUGGUCGGACAUCAGGAGGUUAGUGCAAUGGCAUAAGCCAGCUUGACUGCGAGCGUGACGGCGCGAGCAGGUGCGAAAGCAGGUCAUAGUGAUCCGGUGGUUCUGAAUGGAAGGGCCAUCGCUCAACGGAUAAAAGGUACUCCGGGGAUAACAGGCUGAUACCGCCCAAGAGUUCAUAUCGACGGCGGUGUUUGGCACCUCGAUGUCGGCUCAUCACAUCCUGGGGCUGAAGUAGGUCCCAAGGGUAUGGCUGUUCGCCAUUUAAAGUGGUACGCGAGCUGGGUUUAGAACGUCGUGAGACAGUUCGGUCCCUAUCUGCCGUGGGCGCUGGAGAACUGAGGGGGGCUGCUCCUAGUACGAGAGGACCGGAGUGGACGCAUCACUGGUGUUCGGGUUGUCAUGCCAAUGGCACUGCCCGGUAGCUAAAUGCGGAAGAGAUAAGUGCUGAAAGCAUCUAAGCACGAAACUUGCCCCGAGAUGAGUUCUCCCUGAGACUUAGAGUCUCCUGAAGGAACGUUGAAGACGACGACGUUGAUAGGCCGGGUGUGUAAGCGCAGCGAUGCGUUGAGCUAACCGGUACUAAUGAACCGUGAGGCUUAACCUU